rnacentral:rRNA from 1 species
UACGGGGGGGAGCAAGCGUUGUUCGGAUUUACUGGGCGUAAAGGGCGCGUAGGCGGCCCACCGCAAGUCGAUUGUGAAAUCUCCGGGCUUAACCCGGAAAGGUCAACCGAUACUGCGGGGCUAGAGUGCAGAAGGGGCAACUGGAAUUUACGGUGUAGCAGUGAAAUGCGUAGAGAUCGUAAGGAAGACCAGUGGCGAAGGCGAGUUUCUGGACAGUUACUGACGCUGAGGCACGAAGGCCAGGGGAGCAAACGGGG